CCUGACUCAAGAGCCAGGUGAGCACAGAGCUCCAGGAUUUGGGGCUCAGGGACCCUCUCCCAGCCCUUCUAUCUGGAGGUGGCCUGGGCUUACAGCCAAGCCAGGCUCUCCUUGGGUCCUUCCACAUCCCAGAGGCCCACACUGAGCUUGGCUGCAGCAAGGCUGAUGGCAGGGCCUUCGGGCUCCUGCUGAUUCAUCUUGCUGACUCCAGGCUCGGGGCUGCUACCCAAGGAGGGCCUUAGAGUCCUGAGAGUAUCUCCUGACCAAUCAAUCCUCUCUCCCCUGGGACCGACACUGGUGACUCAGGGAUAGAGUGCACCCGAUGAAAGGUAGUAUUUGUUGUGUGUCUCUCUCCAGCCUUAUCCAUGAGCUCCUUAAUAGCAAGUCACACACCUCCUCCCACGUGCCAGGUGCGUGGUGGGGCUCUGUCAUGCUGGUUGAAUUGAGCAGUGGUUGUGCUGUGUGAUUAUGCUGAAUGUAUGGGGGACUGUGCCGGGAGCAGCCAUCCACGAUCACGUCGCUGGGCUGGAUGGUCCUCCUUGGUUUUAGGUCUUCUCCCAAAGAGGGAAUGGUGGAGGGAUGAUCAUAACAAUAAUAGCCAAAAUAGCAAACAAGUCACAGUACCAGAGGCUGUGGUGACACCUUACGUAUAUGGUCUCUUAAAUUCUCCCAACAGUCCUAUGAGACGGGCACUGUUUUACUCCCUUUUUGCACAUGAGGACACGGAAGCACCUGGCUCACUCUCCUUCAUUCUUCAGGCCUCUGUUUGAAUGUCUUCUCCUUUGGGAAGGCCAACACCCUCUACCUCCAUAACAUUGCAUUUUUGAUACUUCCUGGCUUUUGAUGACUUGUGUCUCUUCCCUGAUCUGUAAGGGCAGGGGCUACAUCUGUCUUGUUCACUAUUGAACCCGUGGUGCCAGGCACUCAGCUGGUAUGGAGUAGAUGCUCAAUAAAUGUGUUUGAAUGAAGGAAUGAACCAAUUCUUACAGCAUCACUUUGUGUCUACAGAAGCAUUCCAUCAGUCUGUGGGGAGGGGAGGCGCUUUCCUCUGUGUCUCCCUGCAGUGUCCACUGAGCCAAGAGGUGUCCCAGACCCAGGCAUCUCUGUUUAAUAAGAAUUCAUUGAGCACCUACUAUAUGCCUGAGUCUACACCGAGUGACAGGAAAGGGACCCCUGACCUCAAGGAAUGUCUAACAUUGAGGACAUGGGAACUAAAGACUAUAUCUUCUGCAAAGAACUCCCUUCAUUUGCAUUUCUCCUAAAGCUGUGUCAUGCUUUGAGAAUGCAUCCUGCAUAGCCUUCUAAGAGUUCUGGGAAGAGAAGAAUGGGCUCCCUGCUCAUCAGGCUUCUCAGCUCCAGAGGACCCUGUUGUGCCCGCCAUGCCUGAGGUAGACUGGUGGAGGUGGUUCAGUUAUGCACGUUCAUGCUGGGAUCCUUCGCUCCCUCCCUUUGAGGACACGAGCAUUUUGGCGAAUUCUGAAGAGCACACGUUUUCCACUUAGCUCAGUCUGUGGCGGGCUCAUGGUGCCUUGGUGCUACUAUCUUUCCAUUUAUCAUCUCAGGCCUCCCUCCCCUUUCCCUGCCCAGCCUUUUUACCUGAUUUAAUUUUCACACCUUAUUCAGUGGCUCUUCAUGGAACUUGUCUGCGUCGUUUUACUUCUCUUCCCUCUGGCGCACGGGUCCUCUCACCAUCUAUCUUCCAGGCCUCCUCCACCCCACAGAACAUUUUGCAAGAAAUGCAAAGAGCUUUCUUUCCACUGUGCAUCUGGGCAGGUGCUGGCCGCCGCUGAAUGGGGUGUGCUACUUAGAGUGUGGGUGUGGGUUUGGGGUGUGUGCGUGGGUUUGGGGCAUGUGCCUCACAUACCUACCCAGGCACAAGUGUAGAACUGACUCCUGCUCUUGCCCCAUUCUCCCUCCAGAAACCACAGGUCACUCUGACUUCCUGCUGGGCGUCCCUACAGAUGUUGGCGGCCCCCUCCUCUCUUCUCCUUGUGCUUAUGAACCAAGCAGCAGAAAGCCCCCUGGUGUUGGGGAGGGAUCGCAAGGAGCGCUUGAGGACGAUCCAAGGCCAGGCGUGGUAGCAUGUGCCUGUAAUCCCAGUGCUUUGGGACACCGAGGCAGGAGGAUCACUCGAGCCCAGGAGUGCGAGGCUGCAGUGACGCUAGACUUCAGGAAGACCCCCCAUUUCUGCUCCCCUCCUGGGCUUGGAGAAGAGUACAGCUGCUCUUGACUGGUGGGACCUUUUGCUGGCUAGGGGUGAUGGGAGAAGCAAGAGAGGGAUCCACACACCUGCGCUUAGCUUUCUAUGACCUGGGCGGAUGGAGGCCAAAGGAGUCACCAGAAGCAUCUUCUCCGCUGGAUAUAAAAGAGAAAUAUUGCGCUUUAGCUGGCUUCAGCAAGAAAGGAAAGAUUCUGUCCUCACCUUGGUGCAUAUGUGGAGAGGCGGGGCAGGCACAGUGCUGUCCUGAACUUGCAUCCUGUGGAGUUGCUGUGGUCUAGAGACAUGUGGAGCAUGGGGUGGAGGAGAGCCAGGUGGGUUUCUGAGGGGGUGAGUGGACUGUGGCCUGAGAGGGGUGUGUGGAGGGCAGAAGUCCUAUGGGAAGAGUGGGAUGAUGGAGAUCUCUUGGGUUAGAAGGGGCUUCUUCUGGUUCUGAAGGCAGUUGCCCAAUAAAGGUGGAUGGGAGCCCAUUCCAGACACCAUCUCGGGGGGUUCGUCUUUUCCUUUUUCUCCACUAGCCUCUUACCUGAUCUUCCAGGGCUAGGUGUCCUUCAGGGGCCAAAGGGGCUGGGGAGUUUCUUGGAAGGCAGAUCAUUAAGAUUUAAUGGGACAUUUCCUGCCAGGCAGAGGGAUUGUAAAAUGCAGCUAAUUUAGAGAGCCAGGGGAUCACAGAGUCAUUUUGCCUUUCGUUGGGAAAGGCCAGACAUGAAAUUAUGCCAAUCCCUGCCCUCCUGUCUUCAGUCCUCCCCAAUUAUACCACUGGGCAGCUGCUGAGCUGGCCCAGAGUAUCUGCUGGACAGAGCCCUUCCCUGCUGGCGGCAGGGGCAGGUGGGUGUUUAGCUGGCUGAGGGCUUAGUGAGGAAAGUGGUGUUGGAGCAGCAUCUACGCAGCCACAAGCCCUUGUGCAGUGCUCGGAUUUCUCAGCUCGGCCCCAGGACCAUAGCCACAGCCCAGACUUCCUUUCCUCCAUCCCCUGUAGUGGCUUCUCAGAGCCUUGGUCUGGCAGGGUCCUUUCCUUUCAGCAGAGUGAGUUGGACAGUUGAAGGAAGUGAGUUGGUAAAGGGGUAGUGGCAAUUGUGUGUCUGUGUGUGUGCAUGUGUGUGCAUGCGUGAGACAGAGACAUAGAGAUGAACAGAGAGACAAAGGCAGGGAGAAGGAGAGAAACACGACCAGAGGGCAGGGAAGUAGAAGGGCACCUGUUGCCUCCCCUGGGGCUGGGCUGUUUGGUUGAAGUUGAUCUCAGCUGUGUGUCUUUACCCAUAGGUGACAGGAAAUGAGAACAUGGAGGGAUAGAUGUGGGCACAGCCUAGGGAGAGGAAAGGGGAGGUGAGAAGUUACAACAGCAGUGGGAUCCUUUGGGGCCCUUGGGCUGAGAUGCUGGAUCAGUGCUGCCCAAGAAGCUGGAGUUUAGAGCUGCUCCUAGGUGUGCAAGGGAAAUAGCCAUAGAUGUGGACACCAAGAGGUUCUGCCACACACAACAUGCAUGACCUCUGUGAGGUCCCAUAAAAAUGAGGAUACCAUUGCAACCUUACACGUAACACAGCUGAAGCUUCUAGAACAUACAGGGCAUCCAGUAAGUCCAUGUUCCACCUUCCCUCCCUUCCAUAGAGGGGGAUACACGGAUGCUUAGUACAGUGCCAGACACAUGCUUGGCACUCAGUACAACUUGGUGGAAUUGGAUUCCGAAUCCCAACAGCCACUCAGCCACUGCCCCUCGGCCUUGGGAGCUGGAGUCAGGCAGAGCUGAGGGUUGCACCCAG
rnacentral:lncRNA from 1 species